AUUGAACGCUGGCGGCAUGCCUUACACAUGCAAGUCGAACGGUAACAGGUCUUCGGAUGCUGACGAGUGGCGAACGGGUGAGUAAUACAUCGGAACGUGCCUAGUAGUGGGGGAUAACUACUCGAAAGAGUGGCUAAUACCGCAUGAGAUCUAUGGAUGAAAGCCGGGGAUCGCAAGACCUUUUGCUACUGGAGCGGCCGAUGGCAGAUUAGGUAGUUGGUGGGAUAAAAGCUUACCAAGCCGACGAUUUGUAGCUGGUCUGAGAGGACGAUCAGCCGCACUGGGACUGAGACACGGCCCAGACUCCUGCGGGAGGCAGCAGUGGGGAAGUUUGGACAAUGGGCGAAAGCCUGAUCCAGCAAUGCCGCGUGCAGGAUGAAGGCCUUCGGGUUGUAAACUGCUUUUGUACGGAACGAAAAGCCCAGGGUUAAUACCCUGGGCUCAUGACGGUACCGUAAGAAUAAGCACCGGCUAACUACGUGCCAGCCGCCGCCGUAA
rnacentral:rRNA from 1 species